AUGAUAAGAUAUGAGGCAUUUGUCAUCGUGGCGGAAACGAAAAGGGGUGCCACGGCAACAAUAAUGAAACGGUGCCACGACAACGUUGCGGUUCCGGUAACUCGAUUGAGAUACCGAUGCAAAGGAGAAGUGUGCGGAUGCGUGCAAAAGAUGGUGGGGCGCUCCCGGAUUCUGGGUGUCCCACGAGUUUGCGACAAGGAAACGAGUGACAAAUUGGACACGGUGCAAACAAAAGGGUGCAUCUCGUACAUCGCACGCAUUCAACCCCGGGGUCAUCGGCUCGGCGGUUAUACCUUCGAAGUGCGCGGUUUGGGACGAUUCGGGUUCGAAGGGAUGUAG
rnacentral:rRNA from 1 species